AUGCGCGCUCCCCCGAUGCUCGUGCCGAAGCGCAUCAAUUACGUGGCCCCGAUGCUCGCCUCCGCCCUCAUCCUGCUCCUCCUCCUCUCCGGCUACUUCGAGCUCCCCUCUAUAACCUCCUCCCUCUCCACCCAGUUCUCCCCCACCGUCCCCGCAGCCGGCGCCACUGGGAGCCGCCGCAUCGGUACAGCGCUCGACUCCGUCGGCUCCCGCGAGCGGUCGGCUUUUACGUCCACCCUCGCCGCGUUCAGCGCUUGGGACGACGCCGUCGGGUGCCCCCGCAUCCGCGCCAAGAUCGGCGCCGCUAACGCGACGACGGCCUCUGCCAUGGCUUCCAUCACCGGCGGAGCGGGGUGGGGAGGCGCGAGGUGCGAGGAGAUGAAGACGCGGCACGUGGGGGUGUUCGUCAAGGGGUGGACGUGGAUCCCCGACUCGCUCGACGGCGUGUACACAUGCCGUUGUGGAGUGAGCUGCGUGUGGAGCAAGGCCGCCGCAGUCGUCGACCGCCCCGAUGCGCUGCUCUUCGAGGGCGCUACGCCGCCACUGCAGAGAAUGAAAGGUCUGCCUCUUCGUGUUUAUUUGGAUCUGGAGGCUAGCAGGAAACCAACUGGUUUUGAGGACAUUUUUAUAGGUUACCAUGCUAAUGAUGAUUUACAAGUAACAUAUGCUGGAAAAUCUUUCCACACUAGCCGGAGUUACCAUGUAUCCACAGAAAAGACAACUGAUGCACUUAUCUAUUGGUCAUCUUCAAGGUGUCUUCCUCACAGAGACAAGCUUGCAGAAGAUUUCCUCUCAUUGGUGCCACACCAUUCCUUCGGAAAAUGUUUGAAUAAUGUUGGUGGUCCUGACAUGGCACUAUCCAUGUAUCCGAUUUGCUCAAACAAUGGCAAUGGAUCACCACACUGGUGGGAUCACCUACACUGUGCAAUGUCACAUUACAAGUUUGUUCUUGCAAUCGAGAACACCAAGACAGAAAGUUAUGUGACAGAGAAGCUGUUCUAUGCGUUGGAGGCUGGGUCAGUGCCAAUAUACUUUGGUGCACCCAAUGUCUGGGAUUUCAUUCCUCCCGAUUCCGCAAUUGAUGCCUCCAAAUUCAGCUCUCUUAAAGAACUGGCAUCAUAUGUGAAAGCGCUUGCGAAUGAUCCGGUAGCGUAUGCAGAAUACCAUGCAUGGAGGCGAUGUGGUGUUCUCGGCAACUUUGGCAGGACACGUGAAAUGAGCCUUGAUACACUGCCUUGCCGACUCUGCGAACUAGUUAGCAAGAGAGGUGGUAGAAGUGCAGACUCAUUUUGA
rnacentral:rRNA from 1 species